GUAGGUGGCAAGCGUUGUCCGGAAUUAUUGGGGCGUAAAGCGCGCGCAGGCGGUUCUUUAAGUCUGAUGUGAAAGCCCACGGGCUCAACCGUGGAGGGUCAUUGGAAACUGGAGAACUUGAGUACAGAAGAGGAAAGCGGAAUUCCACGUGUAGCGGUGAAAUGCGUAGAGAUGUGGAGGAACACCAGUGGCGAAGGCGGCUUUCUGGUCUGUAACUGACGCUGAGGCGCGAAAGCGUGGUGAGCAAACAGGAUUAGAUACCCUGGUAGUCCACGCCGUAAACGAUGAGUGCUAAGUGUUAGGGGGUUUCCGCCCCUUAGUGCUGCAGCUAACGCAUUAAGCACUCCGCCUGGGGAGUACGGCCGCAAAGGCUG
rnacentral:rRNA from 1 species